ACCAAUUACAAUAUAUAUCGAAACAGAUUAUUACAAUAUUCAAAACAAAAUGCGGUAUAAUUGAAUUAAAAAUUUUAAUUAGUACAUAUAUCAAAGCAGGAAAUAGUACAAAAUGAAGGAAAACUUUAAAAUUGAAACAUUUUCCCAAUGAAAUUUUGAUGUCGCUGCUUCACCUUUGUUAUUGCAUUUCAGUAGCGGAAUCCAACGACAUCGAAGUUGUUGUAGGUGGCCUACGAAAUCGUUACGGUUUGUUGAAAGGAACAAAAUUGUGACUGAAAUGAGCUUAAUUGUUGUUAUAUGUCUGUUGGAGGAUGAAAACAAAACAGAGGUACUUAUGAUGCGUGUUUGAUGGGUGGUUCUCGAUGUUUCUUACUGUUGCAGCUGGAAGAGACAAUGAAGGUUUAUGUUGGAUGGUGUGCAUGUAUCGAAUGGAUGUGGUGAUACGACGAUGGUCAGAGUUGGUUUUGGCCGGAAAUGGGAGGUGGUAAUGAUGCAAGGUGGUUUGUUGGAAGUGAAGAUAGUGAUGGUUGGUGAAACCGGCGUGAAAAAUUACCGGGUUUGGGUGCAAUGGUGGUUAGGAUGAAUAAGUACUGAAGAUCAGUGAAAGCGGUGUGGAAGUUGUAUGAAGCACGAUUUUGAAGGUUGGUCGCAACAAGGUUGUUAGUUAUGUGAAGUACAGUUUUGAAGAGGAGAGAGAGCUUAUUGGUGGUAUUGGCCAUGUGGAUGGUGUUUGAUAAAGAGGAUGAUUCAUAUUGUGGUUUUGCGAUGACUUUCUUGGAGCUAAACGAUUUUGGUCAUUAAAGUUGGUAGUGGACGUGCAUUAUUCAUGGUGGUGGUGGUGUUAUAUGUGGUGGUUGAAG
rnacentral:lncRNA from 1 species